UACCGAAUCCUGGCAACCCCCGACCGAGAGCCAGCGCUAAAACUAUAAAAACGAUCCCUCGCUGCGCCUUUGCCUCUUUUUUGUGCGUGGCGUUCGUGUGUGCGGUUCUUGUUGAAAAAUGUUUGGGACUUGUGUAAUUUUAACAGUUUUCGUUAAUAGUAAAUUGAAAUCAUUUUGUUAGAAGUUUUGUUAAUUCAGUGAAAUAUAAUUAGGCUGUGUUAUUUAUUUCUUUUUGUUAACUACCUCACUUCUGGUCGAUAAUAUCAGAAUUGGGAUAAAACCACGUGCUUUUGAAAUAUGACGGGACGUCGAUCUAGAAAAUGCAAGCGUGAUCAAUCUCAUCGACGCUGUCAUGACCGCUCGAAUUCUUGAUUUAGGAGUUUGUUGCAAUUAUUAUCGUCGCGAUCGUGCUGUGUGUAGGAAGAGCAAGACACCUACGCCGCAGGAUGUCUCCUGGCAUAGUUCCGUGGAACCGUUGUUUGGAACAUAAUUAUACUCCAGCAACGGUUUCCGUCGAAGGCGGUGACGCAUGUGCACCUGAGUACCCUGGAACAGCGUCAAGCAAAUCGGAGGGUGUGUGUAGCAGUGCUGGUCAGCAGAUGGACGGCGUGACGAACAGGAUUAUUGGAGCAUUGCAGGUGCUAUCUAAACUUUGACAAUAGAGGCGCCUUCUGUCUGAUUUGUUCACAGACGCAGGGCGUUGUCGCCGACGUGUGAGGUCAGUAGCGAGUCGGCGCCGUGCUCCAGCAGGAGAGCGCAGAGCCGUGCAGACUGCACGUGUUGCUCGCGUGCCGCUGCCCGCGCGCGUUCAUCUACUUCUGGCGUGCAUACUGCAUGAGAUGCUCGCGUGCCACCGACUGCACGGUGCCGCUGGCUGCGCGCGCUCGCCUGCUUCAGACGUGCAUACUGCACGUGUUGCUCGCGUGCCGCUGCAUGCGCGCGCUCACCUACUUCUGACGUGCAUACUGCACGUGUUGCUCGCAUGCCGCCGACUGCACGGUGCUGUACGACUGGCAGUGACGCAGAGGGCGAUGUCGCUUAGUCUGCGGCCUGCUACUGCGGACUACCCAACGGAUUAUCUAUCAGGACGGUCGAGCGGGACGCCCGCCACACGUGGUGCAGCCUCGCAUCGUGGGAGCAGACUGGAGCUGGGACGGCUGCCCUGCUUCCACAUCAUCCUUACGAGUGGACCCCGGCGACAUGCAGCCUUUUCUUCGAAAUUAAUAUGUGAAGGUCGAGGUGGGCACUUCGGUGCUUUACUUCCCAUUUUUGAGGUUGAGGUGGGCACUUCGGUGCUUUACUUCCCAUUUUUGAGGUUGAGGUGGGCACGACGGUGCUUUACUUCCCAUUUUUGAGGUUGAGGUGGGCACGACGGUGCUUUACUUCCCGUUUAUUUUUUGAGCAGUAUGGUUAGAUGCGGAUUCAGCCGGAUUUUGCGUCCCUACUGUUUAGCUGUGUUGUGUCGGUAAUGUUCAGUAUCUGUAUCGGUGAAUAUUGCCGACAACAGCGCGCUACUGUUUUAGACGUUUCUUAUACGGGCUAACUCAGUAAAGGAAUCGUGCAGGUGUCUCAAAUUGCGCAGUUUGGGACAGUUGUGCGAUAUCCAUUCUUCUCACUUCAAAUGUUUAUCUUUGGCUCGUCCUCGCUGCAGAUGUAAGAGUGCACGCUUGCGUCUGUAGUAGGGAUUCUAAAUUUUAGAAAGUUUUAGAGCAUUAAGGUCUGGGUGUAUUUUUUUUUGUUACGUUACAGAGGGUGACCUUGUUGAUGCAAGCUCUGACGUAGCUGGAAGAGAUAUGCUUCUGCUGAGAGAUGAAGCGGUCGAGGACGCCUCGCCGUCAGGAACGGCCGUGUUACCGAAUCCUGGCAACCCCCGACCGAGAGCCAGCGCUAAAACUAUAAAAACGAUCCCUCGCUGCGCCUUUGCCUCUUUUUUGUGCGUGGCGUUCGUGUGUGCGGUUCUUGUUGAAAAAUGUUUGGGACUUGUGUAAUUUUAACAGUUUUCGUUAAUAGUAAAUUGAAAUCAUUUUGUUAGAAGUUUUGUUAAUUCAGUGAAAUAUAAUUAGGC